ACAAAUCCAAGGGGUAGGCUGGCUUCGGUCAGUGCUAUCUCUUAACUGGCCUUCGGGCCUUCAACCCUAUGUGAACUGUUUAUUGACUCUGGUAAGACCAGGCUCGAAAGGGCCUACUUGCCAGCAACUUUUUUAACUUAUUUUUUUGUCUUAUACUUUUUAAAUACAUA
rnacentral:misc_RNA from 1 species